CGUAGUUAAAAAUCAGAGGCGUGCCAGAUCUUGGAUAGAAAUUAAUCCUAGGAAUUUCGAGUAAGGACAUACUUUCAAAUUUCCAUGCUCAACAGGUAUAUAGUCAGGUAUUAAGCUAUCUGGAGAAUACGAUAAAUUUUUCAAGCAUGCAGAUUGUAAUAUUCUCACACCAGCACUUUUUAAUCCAAUUAUACGCUCUAUAUAUGGAAAAUUGUCAUCAUUUCUAAUCAUGAUGCUCUCCGAGACUCUGGGCUAAAUUUUUCGAGG